UGCAAGUCGAACGAAGUAGCAAUACUUAGUGGCAGACGGGUGAGUAACAUGUAGGUAUCUACCCUUUGGCCUGGAAUAACACGAGGAAACUUGUGCUAAUACCGGAUAAGUCUUUACGGAGAAAGCUUUAUGCACCAUUGGAUGAGCCUGCACUUGAUUAGUUUGUUGGUAGGGUAAUGGCCUACCAAGACUGUGAUCAAUAGCUGAUUUGAGAGGAUGAUCAGCCACAUUGGGACUGAGACACGGCCCAAACUCCUACGGGAGGCAGCAGUGGGGAAUCUUGCACAAUGGAGGAAACUCUGAUGCAGCGAUGCCGCGUGAGUGAAGAAGGCCUUUGGGUCGUAAAGCUCUUUCGUCGGGGAAGAAAAUGACUGUACCCGAAUAAGAAGGUCCGGCUAACUUCGUGCCAGCAGCCGCGGUAAUACGAAGGGACCUAGCGUAGUUCGGAAUUACUGGGCUUAAAGAGUUCGUAGGUGGUUGAAAAAGUUGGUGGUGAAAUCCCAGAGCUUAACUCUGGAACUGCCAUCAAAACUUUUCAGCUAGAGUUUGAUAGAGGAAAGCAGAAUUUCUAGUGUAGAGGUGAAAUUCGUAGAUAUUAGAAAGAAUACCAAUUGCGAAGGCAGCUUUCUGGAUCAUUACUGACACUGAGGAACGAAAGCAUGGGUAGCGAAGAGGAUUAGAUACCCUCGUAGUCCAUGCCGUAAACGAUGUGUGUUAGACGUUGGAAAUUUAUUUUCAGUGUCGCAGCGAAAGCAAUAAACACACCGCCUGGGGAGUACGACCGCAAGGUUAAACUCAAUGAAUUGACGGGGACCCGCACAAGUAGUGAGCAUG
rnacentral:rRNA from 1 species